rnacentral:rRNA from 1 species
GACGAACGCUGGCGGCGUGCCUAACACAUGCAAGUCGAACGGGACUUGCCCCUUCGGGGACAAGUUUAGUGGCGGACGGGUGAGUAACGCGUGAGCAACCUGCCUUUCAGUGGGGGACAACAGUUGGAAACGACUGCUAAUACCGCAUAACACUUAUUAGGGGCAUCUCUGAUAAGUCAAAGAUUUAUUGCUGAAAGAUGGGCUCGCGUCUGAUUAGCUAGUUGGUGGGGUAAUGGCCCACCAAGGCGACGAUCAGUAGCCGGACUGAGAGGUUGAACGGCCACAUUGGGACUGAGAUACGGCCCAGACUCCUACGGGAGGCAGCAGUGGGGAAUAUUGGGCAAUGGGGGAAACCCUGACCCAGCAACGCCGCGUGAAGGAAGAAGGCCUU